rnacentral:rRNA from 1 species
UACGAAGGGUGCAAGCGUUAAUCGGAAUUACUGGGCGUAAAGCGUGCGUAGGCGGUCUUUUAAGUCCGUUGUGAAAGCCCCGGGCUCAACCUGGGAAUGGCGAUGGAUACUGGCUCGCUAGAGUGCGGUAGAGGAGAGUGGAAUUCCCGGUGUAGCAGUGAAAUGCGUAGAGAUCGGGAGGAACAUCAGUUGCGAAGGCGGCUCUCUGGACCAGCACUGACACUGAGGCACGAAAGCGUGGGGAGCAAACAGG